rnacentral:rRNA from 1 species
GACGAACGCUGGCGGCGUGCUUAACACAUGCAAGUCGAACGGAAAGGCCUCUUUCGGGGGGUACUCGAGUGGCGAACGGGUGAGUAACACGUGAGUAACCUGCCCUUGACUUUGGGUUAACUUCAGGAAACUGGGGCUAAUACCGGAUAGGAGCUCCUGCUGCAUGGUGGGGGUUGGAAAGUUUCGGCGGUUGGGGAUGGACUCGCGGCCUAUCAGCUUGUUGGUGGGGUAGUGGCUUACCAAGGCUUUGACGGGUAGCCGGCCUGAGAGGGUGACCGGCCACAUUGGGACUGAGAUACGGCCCAGACUCCUACGGGAGGCAGCAGUGGGGAAUAUUGCACAAUGGGUGGAAGCCUGAUGCAGCAACGCCGUGUGCGGGAUGACGGCCUUCGGGUUGUAAACCGCUUUCGCUCAUGACGAAGCUUUGUGUGACGGUAGUGGGUAAAGAAGCACCGGCUAACUACGUG